ensembl:lncRNA
AGCUGUAGCCCUAGAGAUGCCAACUGCUGCCUGUGUUUGUGUAAGGCUGAUCAAAGUGCACUUUGUCUUUGGAACAGCACUGAUUGAACCAGCACAAGCUGCAGGUUUCCACCUCUGGUCUGCAGCACCCCAGGGAAAAUACAUACUCCUUGUAAGCUGUCAAGACAAGGUAACUCACUGAAGGAAGUCAUAAUCAGGAGGCUUAAAUUAGCUGUACAGAGGGCUGUGGCUUCACUGGAAAAUACAUAGAUGCUGCAUACUGAUAGGGAUUGAAAGCAGAGAGAGAAGUCCUGGAUGCUGUGGUUGGCAGAGAAGCAGCAUUUCUUCCUUCCCCUCCCAUGACCUGGCAAAAUGCUGUUUUUAUCUUUUAAUUUAUGCACAUCUCCCAUUUUUCUCCAUUUUAACCAGAGCAGCACAGAGGAAUUACUUUUUGCAUCUUUUCUGCCUUCUUCCCAUUUGCCCCUUUCCUUUGCUCCAAAGGGCUUUCUUGCAUGAAAGAUGGCAGCCACCUGCUUCUAUUGUGAGGCUGCAAAUGCAAACAGCCUCUCACUGAGCACAACCGCCGUUGGGCAGGAGAGGGCCCAGCUGGGACUGGGAUCUACAAGUGGACUAUUAGCAGCCAAGUAGUGGACUGAAGCUGGUUAUUUUUAUUGCUGCCCCGAGGAGAUAGGUCAGACAAGGCAAAACAUUAGUAUAACCAGCAAAGUGUAAGCAUUUGAAGGCUUCUGCAGGCUCUGAGAUGCCCGCAUGCUGCAUUUUUGCACAGCGCUGGCUGGCAGCAAGAUGUUUUUUUCCAUGAUAGCAUUUGUAACAAGAAAUCUACUGAAGAAAAAGCAUGAAGUGCACUUGACUGAUUUCUCACAUCUCAGUUUUAAAAGCCAGUUCUGCGUUUUUCUUUGCCUGAUAAGCUACGAUUUGUCAGUAUCGACCUCACGCAUGACGUGGGAUUGUGGCACGUGCUGAGCCCACACCUCCAGAACUGCCUAGAGAUGCUCUGUACUACCCAGCUGUCCAUCCUCUGCCGGAGAAACAGGAAGGAAGGUGGCCAUGCUUCUCUUGUGCUGCUUUGGGCAUCAGCAGCACCAACCAGCAUUGCCGCUUGGCAGAGCUGGGCUGCCCUGUGGGGUGAGAACAUAUGACAGAGGCAGAUGUUGUGAUACAGAAAUAGCCUUAAGCAGUGGAUAUGUCGGCGCAAAACCACCAUGUCCGCUGCAGCCACUGCCCUCAGCCAGACACAGGCUGUGCUUUAUUGUAGGAAGUGGGACAGUAGAGACGGAACUGAACCCGCCUGCCUGAAUUCUCCACAUGCUGUUACGGCAGCUCUUCAGGCCGCAGCGACAUCCCGCGUGGUGCCAACGUGGCAGCUGAGCUCCCAGAAUAGAUGCACAUAAUUUUUUAAAAAUCUGUUGUGAUGUCAGAAAGCUUCCCUUUUUAGCUCUUGCCUCAUCUAUCAGCUACAGCUCGCUUACGGGUGCUGAGCCAUGAAUGUAGGCUAGCAGCUAACGUAGGCUCAGAUUUACAGAAUCGUUUGGAGAAGAUCAGUAAGUUGGGAGUCAGAAUCUCCAAGGUGGCUUUAAUGGCCGUGAUCUCACGUCAGGAUGGAAACAGGAAAGUGUGAUGGAAAUACAAAAUACGAAUUGUAAUGCAGGAAUGCCAUUCCGACGUGCUUGCUAUCCGUCAUCAGCAAACAGUUAAGACAUAGAGUAGAUAAAUGUUUUGCUUGGCCUAUAAAAGUCAAAGGCCAAGAAGAGGGACAGACAGAAGGAUUUCUACGUUACUCCCAGAGCUCAGCACUUCUCUCCCUGCAGAAAUAAGCACUCCUCAAAGUGCUUAUUUCUCUCUAAGACUGAUAAACACAGCUUUGGGCGAAGGCUUCACGUGGAGACACCUGAACCAACAAUACACAUCCAAAGUGGAACAAGAGAUUGGAUUCUGCCCUCUGGGACCUUCAGAGGCUGUGCCAAUUGUUGACCAUUCGUUGGCCAUUCAUCUUACCAGACAGAGCCCACCUCGCUUCCAAACACCUAUUCAACAUCUUUUAUGCCACUGCCAAUGAAUCAAAGACAUCAUAAAGUCCAAAUGGCAAUGUGAACGUGGAUAAAAGGCUGCUACAGACAUUGUGUACUUAAACCAGAGCUAUUUGCUGUUCUUUCUUUCUGCGUAAAUACGGCAAGGCAAGAGCAUGCGGUGUAUGCAUGACAUAAAUAUAGGAGGAAAAAACAAAAGUUAAGUAGCAAAUCCUGACACACCUUAUGG